rnacentral:other from 1 species
UAUCCCCUACCGUGCUCGUGAUGGGGCAAAACUCUUGAGCCUACCAACUUAAAGACAGGGAGGUCGAAUUGAGUACAACGUACAUGCCCUGUUCUCUCUGAGAGAGGGACGUACAGAGUAUUCAUGCAGAACACCCACCUGGUUCUACCAGGUUCAAAGAUUUUGUUCCACACGGCACGCAGGUGGGGGAUCA